rnacentral:lncRNA from 1 species
UCUCAAUUUAUGAACCUCCUUGGCAGCCUUUGUUCUGCUCUCACAUGAGGCUCUGCCAAGUUUAUAAAUACUUCCUCUGAAUGACUAUAAAUUCGGUCUCCCUAAUCUUUCACUCCAUAGAUAAAAUCUCACUGAGGUUGCAGUACCACUGACGCUUAAACUGUUUUCUUGCUUGAUCUUAACACUCUAACCAAAUGGAUUUUGGGGGCCUCCUUUUCAUGGUUCACAGCUGCUUGACUCAAGGAUGUUUGCCUAGCCAUAUCCUGAAAGUUGGAAGCUAACCGGCUUGGAUGCCUGCCUCUCACACUGUUCCUUUCUGUGAAGUCAAGACCAUUGAUAAAAGCCAGACAGUUUACAGAAGGACCUAAAGAAGGUUAUUUCUCUGAACACUUGGCUGUACCUUCUCCAACAACAGAUGAAUUUACCAGAUGUAACAGAAGCGGUUCUUUUGUUUCUCAAGGAGGAUAAGAUUGCCUUUUGUUCUGAUGAACAGUGAAGAACUUUUAGUGAGAAAUCCACCGAAGGAAGAGGAGGGCUGCAGUGCAGGGCCGAAAGGCACGAUGGGAAUGACAAGAAUUGACAGCGCCAAGAGCAGGUGAGAGAGGCUUAUGCAGAAAUUUCCUGCCUUUAUGAAACUCCACAAUAUUCUGCUCCCCAAAAGUUAAAGAAUCAGUGCUUUUUUCUGCCAAGAAAGUAAGAACUUGUAGUUUGUGUCUCCACAGCUUCUGAUUAAGGCGAGGAUGCUGGUCAGCAAGGAAGCACCUUGGAGGUGCCAAGAACUCUUCGUAGAUGGUCCCUUUGUGGAGCAGUGAUGGAUUCGAGAAGGCUGUGAGAACAACACCACAGACUCAGGGGCUGAUGAACAAGAUGGCACCUGCCGUCUGCCAGACCCUGUGCUGGAUACAGUAGUGAGCAGGCAGCAGUCAGAGCCCAUCCUCACGGAGCCAAGGGGGAAGCCACGUGAGUCAGGAUGAUCCGAGAAGGCUUGUCUCAGGAGUUAACUGGAUCAAAGGACUUUCUGGGGCCACAGGGUUAUUAUCAAGCAUCCAGGAAAUCCUCUGCUGAGCCAGCCCUGAAGGUAGUCCGGACAAUGUGUACCUACUAGGCCCUGGUAAAUAUUUAUUAAAUGAAUGAAUGAAUGAGCCACCUCAUAUAUUUCAAAUUAUGUAAAUACCAUUGAAUUUAUAUUAACUAUUGCUGUAUAAUAAACUACUCCUAAACGUAAUGGCUUAAAACA